rnacentral:rRNA from 1 species
AACGAACGCUGGCGGCAGGCCUAACACAUGCAAGUCGAGCGCCCCGCAAGGGGAGCGGCAGACGGGUGAGUAACGCGUGGGAAUCUACCUAAUGGUACGGAAUAGCCCCGGGAAACUUGGAGUAAUACCGUAUAAGCCCGAAAGGGGAAAGAUUUAUCGCCAUUAGAUGAGCCCGCGUUGGAUUAGCUAGUUGGUGGGGUAACGGCCCACCAAGGCGACGAUCCAUAGCUGGUCUGAGAGGAUGAUCAGCCACACUGGGACUGAGACACGGCCCAGACUCCUACGGGAGGCAGCAGUGGGGAAUAUUGGACAAUGGGCGCAAGCCUGAUCCAGCCAUGCCGCGUGAGUGACGAAGGUCUUCGGAUUGUAAAGCUCUUUUGGCGGGGACGAUAAUGACGGUACCCGCAGAAUAAGCCCCGGCUAACUUCGUGCCAGCCGCCGCCGUAAGAC